rnacentral:rRNA from 1 species
AUCUCGGCUCUCGCAUCGAUGAAGAACGUAGCGAAAUGCGAUACUUGGUGUGAAUUGCAGAAUCCCGUGAACCAUCGAGUCUUUGAACGCAAGUUGCGCCCUAAGCCUUCUGGCCGCGGGCACGUCUGCCUGGGUGUCA